rnacentral:rRNA from 1 species
CUGGCGGCGUGCUUAACACAUGCAAGUCGAACGCGAAAGGGACUUCGGUCCUGAGUAAAGUGGCGCACGGGUGAGUAACGCGUAGAUAACCUGUCUUCAUGUCUGGAAUAAUACGCCGAAAGGGGUACUAAUACCGGAUAUUCUUGCUUUUCAUAAGUUAUGCAAGCAAAGGUGGCCUCUGCAUAUGCUACUGCAUGAAGAGGGGUCUGCGUACCAUUAGCUAGUAGGUGGGGUAAUGGCCUACCUAGGCGACGAUGGUUAGCGGGUCUGAGAGGAUGAUCCGCCACACUGGCACUGGAACACGGGCCAGACUCCUACGGGAGGCAGCAGUGAGGAAUAUUGCGCAAUGGGGGAAACCCUGACGCAGCGACGCCGCGUGAAGUGAGGAAGGCCUUCGGGUCGUAAAGCUCUGUCAAGAGGAAAGAAGUGUACAAUGGCUAAUACCUGUUGUAUUUGACGGUACCUCUAAAGGAAGCACCGGCUAACUCCGUGCCAGCCGCAGC